rnacentral:rRNA from 1 species
GACGAACGCUGGCGGCGUGCCUAAUACAUGCAAGUAGAACGCACAGUUUAUACCGUAGCUUGCUACACCAUAGACUGUGAGUUGCGAACGGGUGAGUAACGCGUAGGUAACCUGCCUGGUAGCGGGGGAUAACUAUUGGAAACGAUAGCUAAUACCGCAUAAUAUUAAUUAUUGCAUGAUAAUUAAUUGAAAGGUGCAAUUGCACCACUACCAGAUGGACCUGCGUUGUAUUAGCUAGUAGGUGAGGUAACGGCUCACCUAGGCGACGAUACAUAGCCGACCUGAGAGGGUGAUCGGCCACACUGGGACUGAGACACGGCCCAGACUCCUACGGGAGGCAGCGGUAGGGAAUCUUCGGCAAUGGACGAAAGUCUGACCGAGCAACGCCGCGUGAGUGAAGAAGGUUUUCGGAUCGUAAAGCUCUGUUGUAAGAGAAGAACGGGUGUGAGAGUGGAAAGUUCACACUGUGACGGUAUCUUACCAGAAAGGGACGGCUAACUACGUG